AUGUUCUACUAUGGCCUGGAUUUCCACGAUCUGGUCCCGAAUUUCAUCCUCAACAUCUCGGCGUUCAUCGUCGUGUGCGAGGCCUUCCUCUGCAUCCAGCCCCACUUCAGCUUAUGGCUGAAGACCUUCAAUGUCAAGCCGAAGGUAGUGGGCGGUCGCCAAGUGGAGUGCGGAGGUGCCAUGGUGGGCAAGAUGGCCAACAUCCUAUGGCUCGAGGGCUCCUUCGUGGAGACCAUAAAGGGGUGGCAAUCGGGGUGGUUCUACAUCACCGAGCCGCGUGAGCCUAAAUGGGCAGCGGCCCCCGAAUUCCGAUCUGGCUUCCCUACACGGCUCACCUCCUGGAAAGAGACGGGCUUGACAUGGGGUAAUUCAGAAGAGCUGGCCGGACUUCAAACCUACGUCCAAACCCUGGUGAACAAGAAGCUCAAGCUUGUCAACGUAGUCCAGGUCGUGCUCAUCCGCCGGAUUCUCCCAUGCCAACAACGGGCCUUCAGCUUGUGGGAGUUUGAUCCGGCACAGCACCAAACCUUGAGCAGGCUCUUUGACACUACGUACGAAGAUGCCUGGAAGGUGCUUUUCAAGGGCGCCGAGGCUCCCGCAUCCACUACCGAAGAUCACGGAUUUAGCUUGCAGCGUCAAGCCAGCGAGGUAAGCUACUUUACCCUUUACGAGACUCUUGUUUUCCAUAGUUUGACUCUACGCGGGAUCUAA
rnacentral:rRNA from 1 species